rnacentral:piRNA from 1 species
UUGUGUCAAAAGUCCUCUGGUGAGAGA